ACUCCCGUAACUCAGUUGGUUAGAGUAUCAAGCUUAUAUGGUCAUUGUACUGUGUGCUAGAUUAUAUGCAUCUUGGAAGUCGGGAGUUCGAUCCUCCCCGGGAGUA